rnacentral:piRNA from 1 species
UAAAAGAUGACUGCUCAUUCUGUCUUCCUC